rnacentral:rRNA from 1 species
UGACCUCAAAUCGGGUGAGACUACCCGCUGAACUUAAGCAUAUCAAUAAGCGGAGGAAAAGAAACUAACAAGGAUUCCCCUAGUAACUGCGAGUGAAGCGGGAAAAGCUCAAAUUUAAAAUCUGGCGGUCUUUGGCCGUCCGAGUUGUAAUUUAGAGAAGCGUCUUCCGCGCUGGACCGUGCACAAGUCUCCUGGAAUGGAGCGUCAUAGAGGGUGAGAAUCCCGUCUUUGGCACGGAUGCCCGGUGCUUCUGUGAUGCGCUCUCGAAGAGUCGAGUUGUUUGGGAAUGCAGCUCAAAAUGGGUGGUGAACUCCAUCUAAAGCUAAAUAUUGGCGAGAGACCGAUAGCGAACAAGUACCGUGAGGGAAAGAUGAAAAGCACUUUGGAAAGAGAGUGAAACAGUACGUGAAAUUGUUGAAAGGGAAACGCUUGAAGUCAGUCGCGUCGACCGAGACUCAGCCUUGCCUUGGCUUGGUGUACUUCUCGGCCCGACGGGUCAGCAUCAAUUUUACCCCUCGGAUAAUGGCAGAGGAAAGGUGGCACCUUACGGGUGUGUUAUAGUCUCCUGUCGCAUGCAAGGGGUGGGAUUGAGGAACUCAGCGCGC